CCCGGCACAAGCGGUGGAGCAUGUGUUAAUUCGAUGAUACGCGAGGAACCUUACCUGGGCUCAAAUGUAUGGUUGACGUAUUCUGAAAGGGAUACUUCUUCGGACAAUAUACAAGGUGCUGCAUGGUUGUCGUCAGCUCGUGCCGUGAGGUGUCGGGUUAAGUCCCAUAACGAGCGCAACCCUAUCAUUAGUUGCCAUCAGGUCAAGCUGGGGACUCUAAUGAAACUGCCUACGCAAGUAGUGAGGAAGGUGGGGAUGACGUCAAAUCAGCACGGCCCUUACGUCCAGGGCUACACACGUGCUACAAUGGCCGGUACAAAGGGCAGCUACCUGGUGACAGGAUGCUAAUCUCAAAAGCCGGUCUCAGUUCGGAUCGGAGUCUGCAACUCGACUCCGUGAAGUUGGAUUCGCUAGUAAUCGUAGAUCAGCAAUGCUACGGUGAAUACGUUCCCGGGCCUU
rnacentral:rRNA from 1 species